AAUAAGCACAACCAUAAAUUUCUGUAUUUCUGUGUUAAACUUUAAUCAUUUAUCUUAUUUGAAAUUUUUUCUGAAAAAACUAAAAAACAUGAGUCACGCAUAAAGUAUUAUUCAUGUUUUAUAAUCUAGUAACAAUAAAAAUACUAAUCAUAAUUUUUUUUCAAAUAAUACGAACGAUCAAAAUUGGACACGGAAACUCAUGGCUGCGCUUAUU
rfam:Oryza glumipatula chromosome 8, whole genome shotgun sequence.